rnacentral:lncRNA from 1 species
UCAAUUCUUGGGGUUCAAGAUCCAAAACCGGGUUAGUAUUGGCGUUCUUGGGUUUCGUAUCAAUUUCGUUGUGGGUUUCGUAGUUUCCAUUCCUACGGAGUUCGCAUCAAAUAAUGCUCAAAAUCAUAAUCCAUUUUUGAUUUACUCAUCAUAUUGCAGUUCUCGAAGAUCAAUUGUUUUCCUUCUACACCAUGAUUUCUUGAGAUCCUGUGAAGCUUAUUUCAUUCACACAAUAAUAUAUGCCCGAAAUCCCUAUAAAUCCCAACUUUAAGCGAUUCAUGUCAUAAUACACACCUAGAAUCACAACUUAAGAGGGAUUUCACUGUCUCAAUAUCUAGCGAAUGGAAACCUUCAAAUUCACUUCAUCGAGGCACCCGAAAAGUACCAGCAUUUUAGCAAUGCAGAUUCUUCGCUAGAGAUUUUGCACCCAAAGAAUGACAAGGCUCCAAAAAUAGCAUAUCAGGGUCCCACACUCCCCAUCUAAUUGCCAAGAGGCAAUUGGUUAAAUCCCGUAAAGGGGCCGAACCAACGUAGGAUACCGAGCCCAUGUAACUGACUCAACCCAUUUGCAAAGGACCAAACCCCCGUCAUGGGAGAGGCUUUAGAAGGGACUCGACAGGAGAUGUUUCACACAAUUCUUUGUAUUGGUUGAUGUGAUAACUCCCUGUUGCCGCCAUCCUAUCUAGCCAAUUAGGUCCAGUCUAAGCCCUAUGCCAGGUAUUAUGGACAAUAAAAUGGUACUAGCAUUUAAUGCUCAUGAAUGAUUGACAUCUUCGACAAGAGGCCUUUGCCACACAGAUGAGGUCACGUACACUUUCAUCCUAUUAUUAGUGAUCAUCCAAUCUUAUUAUAGAAACUUACACAAUGUACCAUUCCAAAAGUUAAACUAUCCAACUAUAACUUCGUCAUAUCAUUGUUUUAUAUAUCACUCCCCAAAGUUGACCCCUUUCUACAUUGGAGCCUCUCGUCUAAGGUCCUCCACACUCAUAGACUUAUUUCUCCAAAUGGCUUGACUAUAUGAGUACGCCUACCAACUGUACUCCAUCUGAGGAAGUCACGUGUGGCUAACGGCUUGUAAUAAUGUGCAAAA